rnacentral:rRNA from 1 species
UACCUGCGGAAGGAUCAUUASCGAGUGAGGGCCMUCUGGGUCCAACCUCCCACCCGUGUUUAUUUUACCUUGUUGCUUCGGCGGGCCCGCCUUAACUGGCCGCCGGGGGGCUUACGCCCCCGGGCCCGCGCCCGCCGAAGACACCCUCGAACUCUGUCUGAAGAUUGUAGUCUGAGUGAAAAUAUAAAUUAUUUAAAACUUUCAACAACGGAUCUCUUGGUUCCGGCAUCGAUGAAGAACGCAGCGAAAUGCGAUACGUAAUGUGAAUUGCAAAUUCAGUGAAUCAUCGAGUCUUUGAACGCACAUUGCGCCCCCUGGUAUUCCGGGGGGCAUGCCUGUCCGAGCGUCAUUGCUGCCCUCAAGCACGGCUUGUGUGUUGGGCCCCGUCCUCCGAUCCCGGGGGACGGGCCCGAAAGGCAGCGGCGGCACCGCGUCCGGUCCUCGAGCGUAUGGGGCUUUGUCACCCGCUCUGUAGGCCCGGCCGGCGCUUGCCGAUCAACCCAAAUUUUUAUCCAGGUUGACCUCGGAUCAGGUARGGAUMCCCRMWGAACUUAAGCAUAUCAAUAAGCCGGAGGAAAUC